CCGCUCCAAAAUGGAGAAAAAAAGUUGAUAAUCUCCAUAAUCUUGUCGUAGAGACAUUUCUGACGAUGUUCGGGUGUAAAUGUAGCGUGAGGAAGUAACAAUACCGGUGUUGGGGCCGGUAGAGAGCCGGAUAACUGGGAGCGGCCGGCCGCUCUUCCAUUACCAUUUCUCCAUGAUAGAUUCAAUAUGGCUCCAUGGAGAGAUUUGUGACAUUACCCUAACUAAUAAUUGCUACAAUUCCCGAUAUUGUAGCAUGAGCCUGGGAGUAUGCCGAUCCAGGCCCCUCAGUGGACCGAGUUCCUGUCAUGUCCCAUUUGCUGCCAUGAGUUUGACAGUGGUCAGCGUGGGCCAAUCAGUUUGGGAUGUGGACACACCGUCUGCCGUGCUUGCUUGGCCAAGCUGCAGCGCAACCAAUGCCCUUAUGACCAGACUGUGAUGAGGCUGGAGCUGGACCAGCUUCCUGUAAAUGGUGCGUUACUGUCACUGGUGGGGGCUGGGUCGAGUGCGGAGGAGGGGGACCUACCCCCUCCUCCACCAGUGCCUACAUCACAUACCCGUAACUACUUCAUGGCCGUCAAGUGUAUCAAAGAUCUAGCACUCUUCCUUAAACCCUUCUCUGGCUCUGGAACAAACGGCUCUACGUCACUUCUGUCCCGUCCCAUGCAACGGAAGCUAGUCACUCUCAUCAACUGCCAGCUUGUGGAAGAUGAAGGGCGGGCCAGAGCAGUCCGUGCUGCACGAUCUCUGGGUGAACGCACUGUCACCGAGCUCAUACUUCAACACCAAAAUCACCAACAGCUCUCGGCUAACCUAUGGGCAGCAGUAAGGGCUCGAGGAUGCCAGUUUCUGGGACCAGCAAUGCAGGAGGAAGUGUUAAAGCUGGUUCUUCUAGCUCUUGAAGAUGGGUCAGCUCUGUCGCGCAAGGUGCUGGUGAUGUUUGUGGUGCAGCGUCUGGAGCCUCACUUCCCACAGGCCUCCAAGACCAGUAUUGGACACGUUGUGCAGCUACUUUACCGCGCUUCUUGCUUCAAGGUAUCCAAAAGAGAAGGAGACUCAUCACUCAUGCAGUUGAAGGAAGAAUUUAGAACUUAUGAAGCCCUAAGACGAGAGCAUGAUGCCCAGAUAGUCCAAAUUGCAACGGAAGCUGGUCUGAGAAUUGCACCAGAUCAGUGGUCAUCUCUCCUCUACGGUGACACUGCUCAUAAGUCCCACAUGCAGUCUAUUAUAGAUAAGCUCCAGACACCGCAGUCGUUUGGCCAGUCUGUUCAAGAAUUGGUGAUAGCACUCCAAAGAACGGGAGACCCCGGCCAAUUGUCAUCCUUAAGACCGCAGCUAGAGCUGCUAGCAGCCUUGGACCCCUCCCCAGAUGCUCCCCCUCCAGGCUGGAAGCCUUGUGCAGCAGCAAUGGAAGCUGUUAGAGCUGUUGUUACUGGAUUGGUGCAUUUUAUACAGCAUCAUGGGAAUCGCAAGAUGCCAGAUGCCCAUCACCCACAUAAUGCAAAGUACAAGACCAGCAUGUGUCGAGAUCUGACCCAGAGAGGAGGAUGCCCGCGUGGAAAUAAUUGCACAUUUGCUCAUUCUGAAGAAGAACUUGAGAAAUACAGGAAUAGAAGUCGAAAACAUGGCAAAGGCAUUCCACAACCACCUACAACUCCAGCUAUCAAACAACAAAUGCAUAACCAUCAAUCUCAGCAGCAUCCAACACAACCCCAACAACAGACGCAGCAUCCGCAAGGAAGUGUAGAAACUGUAAUAACUACAAAAAAUGGAGAGCAUCCACCUGUUGCAGUCAUUCAGAAGACUGGUACAGUUGAAGAGAUUAUGCAGAGUGGGGAGGUGCCCACAACUCCCACUCCAUUUGACCCACACAAGUUUGUGCAUAUUCCAGCUCAUACUCAAUCAUUGCCAGUUUUACCUGCCCCAACGCCUGCCCCGGCAAUUAUUCAACCAGCCUUAGCUGCAACCUCUUUUCAUGCAGCACCAAUGGCCGAGUAUACUUACAGUUCCUUCCCGUGUCAGCCUCCUGUGUUUGCUCAGGCAGCACCGCAGCAGACGAUACCUUCCGCACCAACGGCUGUUUUUCCAGGUCAGGCUGCAGCAAUAGUUCCAGAUAUAUAUGGUGGAAAUGCUCCCACAAUGCUUCUGAAUACAGCCCCAGUUUACAAUGUGACUGGCCAUGCUAGUGAGUUUUGUAUCCCUAUUGCUAAUACAAAACCGACCAACUCUGGACUUCACCCAUUAGUCUCGUGUUGGCCAGAUACUAACUGUACCACAUUCUGUGUUAACACCACUGUCACAACUACUUCCUUAACAACAGCAACAAAUGUUGCGUCUAAAUCAAUGGAAGAAUUGAAAGAAAGAAAAGAGGCCAUUUUAAAUCAACUGGAGACAAUUGUCGGCAAAGAGGCAACACAUCAAGUUGCAACCCAAAUUGCAAAUGGUGAAGAACCAAGCAAACCACAAGAAUUCACAUCAACGUAUAGUAUUUGGACAUCUGGUGCUGACUUUUAUAUUGCUUCAAAAUCAAUAGAUAAAAAUUAUGAUCCGAGCACAGGUUAUCGUACGUACACGGGCCGAAAAGACGACUCGAAAGGAAAGGAUGAUUUUAUCCCUUUUGACCCCCCAUUAGUAAGUCGUUUUGGGCCGAUCUCUAGAAUGUCACGAACGGUGAUCCAGCCUGCCAAUCCAAUCCAGUCAUCAGCAAGUAACCCUACAGAAACUACAACCACUCCUACUGUUAGACGACCAGUACCUGCACUCUCACCCAUGCCUCAGGUUCUGUACCCAGGAGGCUAUACGGUGGGGGUAAUGACGUGCAUUCCCACGCCCCUGGAACACAUGAACACACUGGGCCAUGGUAUUGUCGACCCACUUCUCACUCAGCUGGAAACUUCGGGUCUCAGGACAAUAUCUGCAGAUGCUGCCCAGCAAGAAUGCCUGAGGCAGCAGUUUACUGCAGUGCGGGAAGGAAUUGAUGCCAUCGUUUUAGAUGAGAAGAGGAUGGCUGAGUGGCAAGAAGUUCGGCUAAAAGAGGAGUUAAGCCUCGUCAUGAACCGGAUCGAAGUCAAACGAAAAGAAAUGGAAGCAAGAAAUGCUUCUAGGUGCUAAAGACUACAGUGUGGAUGAAGAUGUGCAUUCUUCAAGCAAUGAAAAGUGGUGUUAAUAGUGGUGAAUUGGGUGGUGUGACGCCAGCCUGCCGAAAACUUAUGGCCGAGCUUCUCACAACACUCCACUCUUUAUCAUUCAAAGAAUUGUGGAAAAGAUUUUGAAGAUUUUGAGAAGAACAAGAAGUUUGACUUUGAUGAUAAAGAGUGACUCAUCCACACACGUGUACAAAGACUCGCUAAUUUGUAAAUAAUGUAUAGAAAAUAAGUAUUUUUUUUUAGCAAGUUAAGACUAAAAUAUUGAAGGAACUCUAUGAAGAGGAUAAUUAUUUAUGUGGCUCACGUGCAGUAGUGUGGCUCACAUGCAGCACAGUAGUGUGUGGCUCACGUGCAACACAGUAGUGUGGCUCACGUGCAACACAGUAGUGUGUGGCUCACAUGCAACACAGUAGUGUGUGGCUCACAUGCAACACAGUAGUGUGUGGCUCACAUGCAACACAGUAGUGUGUGGCUCACAUGCAACACAGUAGUGUGUGGCUCACAUGCAACACAGUAGUGUGUGGCUCAUGUGCAACACAGUAGUGUGUGGCUCACAUGCAACACAGUAGUGUGUGGCUCACAUGCAACACAGUAGUGUGUGGCUCACAUGCAACACAGUAGUGUGUGGCUUACGUGCAACACAGUAGUGUGGCUCACAUGCAACACAGUAGUGUGGCUCUCAGCAACACAGUAGUGUGGCUCACGUG
rnacentral:misc_RNA from 1 species